rnacentral:misc_RNA from 1 species
GGAAAGAGAGGCUUGCAGUUGAACAUUGGUAAAAGAUAUGGGACAACAUAAAUUCAUAUACAUCAUUAGUGGCCUCCAAAGGUUCGUCUCUGUUUGUAGCAAAAAGUUGAGAACACUUUUAGUGUAGUUGCUACACAUAAAAAUUAAGAACAUCAUACUCAAAUCAAACUUGGAAAAUAUUCAAGGUCAACUAAAACUUUGGUCCUACUCUGCAGGAUUGUCUACAGGAGAAUCUUC